UACGUAGGGUGCGAGCGUUAAUCGGAAUUACUGGGCGUAAAGGGUGCGCAGGCGGCCGCGCAAGUCGAGUGUGAAAGCCCCGAGCUUAACUUGGGAAUUGCGCUCGAAACUACGUGGCUGGAGUGUGGCAGAGGAAGGUGGAAUUCCACGUGUAGCGGUGAAAUGCGUAGAGAUGUGGAGGAGCACCGAUGGCGAAGGCAGCCUUCUGGGCCAACACUGACGCUCAUGCACGAAAGCGUGGGGAGCAAACAGG
rnacentral:rRNA from 1 species